rnacentral:rRNA from 1 species
UAAUACGAAGGGGGCUAGCGUUGCUCGGAAUUACUGGGCGUAAAGCGUGCGCAGGCGGUUUUGUAAGACAGGCGUGAAAUCCCCGGGCUCAACCUGGGAAUUGCGCUUGUGACUGCAAGGCUAGAGUGCGUCAGAGGGGGGUAGAAUUCCACGUGUAGCAGUGAAAUGCGUAGAGAUGUGGAGGAAUACCGAUGGCGAAGGCAGCCCCCUGGGACGUGACUGACGCUCAUGCACGAAAGCGUGGGGAGCAAACAGGAUUAGAUACCCUGGUAGUCCACGCCCUAAACGAUGUCAACUAGUUGUUGGGGAUUCAUUUCCUCAGUAACGUAGCUAACGCGUGAAGUUGACCGCCUGGGGAGUACGGUCGCAAGAUUA